AGAGUUUGAUCCUGGCUCAGAACGAACGCUGGCGGCGUGCCUAACACAUGCAAGUCGAGCGAGAAAGUCCGCAAGGAUGAGUAAAGCGGCGCACGGGUGCGUAACACGUGGGUAAUCUUCCUUGGAGCCCGGAAUAACUCCCCGAAAGGGGUGCUAAUACCGGAUAAGACCACGGGAUCUCCGGAUCCUGAGGGAAAAGGCGGCCUCUGUACACAAGCUGUCACUUCAAGAUGAGCCCGCGGCCCAUCAGCUAGUUGGCGGGGUAAUGGCCCACCAAGGCUACGACGGGUAGCUGGUCUGAGAGGACGAUCAGCCACACUGGAACUGAGACACGGUCCAGACUCCUACGGGAGGCAGCAGUGGGGAAUCUUGCGCAAUGGGCGAAAGCCUGACGCAGCAACGCCGCGUGUGUGAUGAAGGUCUUCGGAUCGUAAAGCACUGUCGGGAGGGACGAAUAAGGUGGCGGCUAACAUCCGUCGCUGAUGACGGUACCUCCAAAGGAAGCACCGGCUAACUCUGUGCCAGCAGCCGCGGUAAUACAGAGGGUGCAAGCGUUGUUCGGAAUUAUUGGGCGUAAAGCGCGUGUAGGCGGCCAGGCAAGUUGGGUGUGAAAGCCCUCGGCUUAACCGAGGAAGUGCGCCCAAAACUACUUGGCUUGAGUACCGGAGAGGGUGGCGGAAUUCCCGGUGUAGAGGUGAAAUUCGUAGAUAUCGGGAGGAACACCAGUGGCGAAGGCGGCCACCUGGACGGAUACUGACGCUGAGACGCGAAAGCGUGGGGAGCAAACAGGAUUAGAUACCCUGGUAGUCCACGCUGUAAACGAUGAGCGCUAGGUGUUGUGGGUGUUGACCCCCGCAGUGCCGCAGCUAACGCAUUAAGCGCUCCGCCUGGGAAGUACGGCCGCAAGGCUAAAACUCAAAGGAAUUGAUGG
rnacentral:rRNA from 1 species